rnacentral:tRNA from 1 species
GGGAGUGUAGCUCAGUGGCAGAGCACUUGCCUAGCAUGUGCAAGAUCAUGGGUUCAAUCCCCAGCACCA